UGUACCAGGAGGAGCUCAGGUCAUAUAACCAACUGCUUCAGACAUAGCAGGGAGAGCGCAUGGAGAGGUCUCUAUGCUGUAUCUCCAGAUAUAUCUGUAUUGGGGGAUAUAAAUACUAGUUAAAGACGACGCAGAGAACAGGACUUAAGUACAAGAGUCAUCAACUGAUACCUCAACAUCCGAGACCUCAUCUGAUACUGACUCCUCAUCUGUGCUUUCAGAGGACGUGGUAUUACCCGAUCUGUGGGGCGAUUUGGAUCAAUAUUUCCAAGAAGGGUUAUCGCCAUCAUCAUCGCCACAGGAUGACGCAACAGGGCAUGCCUCAGACGGUCAAAACAUUAUACAUUCUCUAGAGGCUGCCCGGUUAACUGGAAGAGAUCCAGGGAUGUGAUACCACAUCAAAAUUUUGAAGAACAACUGCCAUUUCACCGGGAGUCUGUCUCAACCGCUAAUCAACCGCUGAUGGCCGCGGAGAGGUCUAGGCCUCAACCAGCGGACAGAGAUCCAGGAUUCUCAUCGGGUCGCAACAACAGGAGAACCAGUUCUGAGAAUCCACACCUGAGAUCCCGCGGGGCUUCCAGCGAAGGAUUUCCAUCGGCAUGCUCAAACAGACCCAGGUCCAGACCAUCCAGGUGUCCUCUGUGCUGCAGAACUACACGCCAGCAAUUGGAUCUGAUGUCUAGAGCGUUUUGGCUCAUCUGUCAGAAGUUAGGUGUACAAAGUGACAAUUUGUAAACUGUUUCAGACUGAUUUUUAUGAUCUGUAUAAAUUGCAAUGAUGUUGA